GUAUCUUAGUGGUGUUCUGUAUAUUUUCUGAAUUUGAAUGUUGGUCUGUCUUGCUAGGUUGGGGAAGUUCUCUUGUAUAAUAUCCUGACGUGUGUUAUCCAGCUUGGUUCCAUUCUCCCCAUUACUUUAAGGCACACCAAUCAGUUGUAGGUUUGGUGUUUUCACAUAGUCCUCUAUUUCUUGUAGGCUUUGUUCAUUCCUUUUUUUUCUCUCUCUCUAAUCUUGUCUGCGUGCCUUAUUUCAGCAAGGUAGACAUCAAUCUCUGAUGUUAUUUCUUCCACUUGUUCAAUUUGCCUGUUUAUACUUGUGUAUGCUUCACGAUGUUCUCAUGCUGUGUUUUUGAGCUCCAUCACGUUAUUUAUGUUCCCCUCUAAACUGGUUAUUCAAUUAGCAGUUCCUGUAACCUUUUUUCAAGGUUCUUAGCUUUCUUGCAUUGGGUUAGAACAUGCUACUUUAGCUCAGAGUAUGUUGUUAUUCCCACCUUCAGUAGCCUACUUCUGUCAAUUCAUCAAUCUCAUUAUCCAUCCAGUUUUGCACCCUUGCUGAAGAGGUGUUGCGAUCCUUUGGAGGAGAAGAGGCAUUCUGGCUUUUGGAAUGUUCAGCGAUUUUCCUCUUUUUUUUUUUUCUCAUCUUCUUGGAUUUAUUUAUCUUUGAUCUUUGAGUCCUACUACCCUUGGAUGGGUUUUUCUGGGUAGUCUUUUUGUUGAUGUUACUGUUGCUUUCUGUUUGUUAGUUUUUCUUCUAACAGUCAGACCUCUCUUCUGCACGUCUGCUGCAAUUUGCUGGAGGUUUACUCCAGACCCUGUUCACCUGGGUAUCACCAGCGGAGGCUACAGAACAACAAAGAUUGCUGCCUGCUCCUUCCUCUGGAAGCUUCUUCCUAGAGGGGCACUGUCCUGAUGCCAGCUGGAACUCUCCUGUAUGAGGUGUCUGUCAACCCCUGUUGAGAGGUAUCUCCAAGUCAGGAGACGUGAGGUUCAGAAACCCACUUGAGAAGGAGUCUGUCCCUUAAUAGAGCUGAUGUACUGUGCUGGGAGAAUUCCCCUUUUCAGGAUCAGCUGCUCUCUUUAUUGCUGGCAGGCAGAAAAGAUUAAGCUCACUGAAUCUGUGACUGCAGCCACCUUUCCACCCAAGUGCUCUGUCGCAGGAAGAUGAGAGUUUUAUCUGUAAGCCCCUGGCUGGUGUUGCUGUGUUUCCUGCAGAGAUGCCCAGCCCAGUGAGGAGGAAUCUAGAGAAGCAGUCUCACCACAGCUGCUUUUCCAUGCAGUGGUAGAUUCCACCCAGUCCAAACCUUCCAGUCUCCUUAGCACCAUCAGGGGAAAACUGCUUACUAAAGCCUCAGUAAUGACAGUCACCUCUCCCCCCACCAAGCUUCAGUGUCCCAGAUCGACUCCAGACUGCUGUGCUGGCAGUGAGAAUUUCAAACCAGUGGUUCUUAGCUUGCUGGGCUCUGUGGGAGUGGAAUUUGCUGAGCAGGACCACUCAGCUCACUGGCUUCAGCCCACUUUACAGGUGAGUGGAUAGUUCUGGCUCUCUGGAGUUCAAGGUGCUGUUGGAGUAUAAAAGGACCCUGAUGCUCUUGCCAGGCAUCCUCAUGGAAGUGACAUCGUCUUUAAACCCUGCGUGGCAAUCCCUGACGCACUGCCGCGAUGCCCAGGGAAGACACGGCGACCUGGAAGUCCAACUACUUCCUUAAGAUCAUCCAGCUAUUGGAUGAUUAUCCGAAAUGUUUCAUCGUGGGAGCAGACAAUGUGGGCUCCAAGCAGAUGCAGCAGAUCCACAUGUCCCUUUGCGGGAAGGCCGUGGUGCUGAUGGGCAAGAACACCAUGAUGCAGUUUCCCACCUCUGGAGAAACUGCUGCCUCAUAUCCAGGGAAAUGUGGACUUUGUGUUCACCAAGGAGGACCUCACUGAGAUCGGGUAUAUGUUGCUGGCCAAUAAGGUGCCAGCUGCUGCCCAUGCUAGUGCCAUUGCCCCAUAUGAAGUCACUGUGCCAGCCCAGACUGGACUUGGGCCUGAGAAGACCUCCUUUUUCCAGGCUUUAGGUAUCACCACUAAAAUCUCCAGGAGCACCAUUGAAAUCCUGAGUGAUGUGCAGCUGAUCAAGACUGGAGACAAAGUGGGAGCCAGUGCAUUGUUGAACAUGCUCAACAUCUCCCCCUUCUCCUUUGGGCUGGUCAUCCAGCAGGUGUUCAACAAUGGCAACAUCUACAAUUCUGAAGUGCUUGACAUCAGAGGAAACUCUGCAUUCUCGCUUCCUGGAGGGUGUCCGCAAUGUUGCCAGUGUCUGUCUGCAGAUUGGCUAUGCAACUGUCGCAUCAGUACCCCAUUCUAUCAUCAACGGGUACAAAUGAGUCCUGGCCUUGUCUGUGGAGACGGAUUACACCUUCCCACUUGCUGAAAAGAUCAAGGCCUUUUUGGCUGAUCCAUCUGCCUUUGUGGCUGCUGCCCCUGUGGCCGCUGCCACCAUGGCUGCUCCUGCUGCUGCUGCUGCAGCCCCAGCUAAGGCUGAAGCCAAGGAAGAUUCGGAGGAGUCGGACGAGGAUAUGGGAUUUGGUCUCUUUGACUAA